GGGCGGGGACGGAAAGGGCGCACGGCGGAUGCCUAGGCGCGGGAAGUCGACGAAGGGCGCGGCAAGCUGCGAUAAGCUGGGGGGAGGCGCAAACGGCCCGAGAUCCCCAGAUUCCCGAACGGGGGAACCCGGCAGGGGCCAUGCCCUGCCGCCCCUUGGGCGAACGCAUAGCCCAGGGGGGGACAACCCGGGGAACUGAAACAUCUAAGUACCCGGAGGAAGAGAAAUCAAAAGAGAUCGCGCGAGUAGCGGCGAGCGAAAGCGCGCGACGCCCAAACCGGAACGUGCGAACGAGCGCUCGGGCGCUGCCGUUCCGGGGUUGUUGGGCGUCCCAGGGGAGGGCCGAGCCCCUCCCGCGGGGUCACAAAGGCCCCCCGCAGCGGAACGGCCUGGGAAGGCCGGCCGAAGCAGGUGAGAGCCCUGUACGCGAAGCGGGGGACCCCCCGGGGACGACCCAGAGUAGCGCCGGACACGUGAAACCCGGCGCGAAGCAGGGGGGACCACCCUCCAAGGCUGAACACUCUCCCGCGACCGAUAGCGAACAAGUACCGUGAGGGAAAGGUGAAAAGCACCCCGAGAGGGGAGUGAAACAGCGCCUGAAACCGUGCGCCUCCAAGCAGUCGGAGCAGCCUAGCGCUGUGACGGCGUGCCUUUUGUAGAAUGAGCCAGCGAGUCGCGGCAUGCGGCGAGGUUAACCUUUGAAGGGAGCCGCAGCGAAAGCGAGCCUUUAAGACGGCGAGUUUAGUCGCAUGCCGCGGACGCGAAGCCGGGUGAGCUAUCCUGGGGCAGGCUGAAGCGGGGGUAAGACCCCGUGGAGGGCCGAACCCACUUCGGUUGAAAACGGAGGGGAUGACCCCAGGAUAGGGGUGAAAGGCCAAUCAAACCCGGAGAUAUCUCGUUCUCCCCGAAAUAGCUUUAGGGCUAGCCUCGGCCGCUUCCGGGCGGCGGUAGAGCGCUGGAUCGCCGAGGGGGCUUCACCGCCUACCGACGCGAACCAAACUCCGAAUGCCGCCCGAUCGAAGGCCGGGAGUCAGAGGACGUGGGCUAAGCUGCGUGCUCGAGAGGGAAACAGCCCAGACCGCCCGCCAAGGCCCCCAAGUCCGUGCUAAGUGGCAAAGGAUGUGCGUCUGCCCAGACAACCAGGAUGUUGGCUUAGAAGCAGCCAUGCAUUCAAAGAGUGCGUAACAGCUCACUGGUCGAGUGGACGCGCGCCGACAAUUCACGGGGCUCAAGCACGGCGCCGAAGCGGCGGGCAGGACGGUGAGUCCUGCGGUAGGGGAGCGUCGCGCGCAGGGAGAAGCGGUGCCCGCGAGGGGCCGUGGACCGCGCGCGAGCGAGAAUGCUGGCAUGAGUAGCGAGAGCGGCGCGAGAAACGCCGCCGCCGCAAGCCCAAGGUUUCCUGGGCGAGGCUAAUCCUCCCAGGGUCAGUCGGGAGCUAAGGCGAGGCCGCGAGGCGUAGCCGAUGCGCGACAGGCGGACAUUCCUGUACCGCCUCUCGACCGCUACGACCGAAGGGGCGACGGAGAAGGGCAGCCGGGCGGGGUUCUGGACGUCCCCGUGAAAGCGCGUAGGGGGCUGCGCAGGGAAAUCCGCGCAGCACAUGCCCCGAGACGCGAGACGAAGCUACAUGCGAAGCCGGCGAUCCCAUGCUUCCUAGAAAAACCCCUAGGCAGGGCGAGGGGCGCCCGUACCAAGACCGACACAGGUGGGCGGGUAGAGCAUACCGAGGCGAUCGGGGGAACCAUGGUUAAGGAACUCGGCAAACCGGCUCCGUAACUUCGGGAGAAGGAGCGCCGCCGGGGGUGGAGGGGCGAGCCCCCCGAGCCCCUGGCGGCCGCAGCGAAACGGCCCAAGCGACUGUUUACCAAAAACACAGGACUCUGCCAAGCCGCAAGGCGACGUAUAGGGUCUGACGCCUGCCCGGUGCCGGAAGGUUACGCGGAAGGGUCAGCGCGCAAGCGCGAAGCCCCGAAGCCAAGCCCCGGUAAACGGCGGCCGUAACUAUAACGGUCCUAAGGUAGCGAAAUUCCUUGUCGGGUAAGUUCCGACCUGCACGAAUGGCGUAACGAUUUGGGCGCUGUCUCAACCAUGGUCCCGGCGAAAUUGCAAUGGUCGUGAAGAUGCGACCUGGCUGCGGAAGGACGGAAAGACCCCGUGAACCUUCACUGCAGCCUGGCAUUGGGCGUUGGCUCGGCGCGUAGAGGAUAGGCAGGAGCCGGUGAAGCGGGGGCGCAAGCCCCCGUGGAGGCGACCUUGGAAUACUGCCCUCGUCGUUCCGGCGUCCUAACCCCCGGCCGCGAUCCGGCGGGGGGACCGUGCCAGGCGGGUAGUUUGACUGGGGCGGUCGCCUCCCAAAACGUAACGGAGGCGCGCAAAGGUCCGCUCGGGACGGUCGGCAACCGUCCUUGAGAGCGCAAGAGUGCAAGCGGGCUUGACUGCGAGAGAGACACCUCGAGCAGGGACGAAAGUCGGUUCUAGUGAUCCGGCGGCCCAGAGUGGAAUGGCCGUCGCUCAACGGAUAAAAGGUACUCCGGGGAUAACAGGCUGAUCUUGCCCAAGAGUCCACAUCGACGGCAAGGUUUGGCACCUCGAUGUCGGCUCAUCGCAUCCUGGGGCUGUAGCCGGUCCCAAGGGUAUGGCUGUUCGCCAUUUAAAGCGGUACGCGAGCUGGGUUCAGAACGUCGUGAGACAGUUCGGUCCCUAUCCUCCGCAGGCGCAAGUGGAUUGAGGAGGGCCGCCCCUAGUACGAGAGGACCGGGGCGGACGGACCUCUGGUGCAGCAGUUGUCGACCAGCGGCACGGCUGCCUAGCUACGUCCGGAACGGAUAACCGCUGAAAGCAUCUAAGUGGGAAGCCGGCUCCGAGAUGAGUCCACUCUCUGGUAAGGGCCCAGGCAGAACACCUGGUCGAUAGGCCGCAGGUGCAAGCACGGCGACGUGCUCAGCCGAGCGGCACUAAUAGCCCGAGCUCCCCGUCCCG
rnacentral:rRNA from 1 species